rnacentral:rRNA from 1 species
UAGUCCACGCCGUAAACGAUGAGAACUAGAUGUUGGGAGGGUUUGCCUCUCGGUGUCGCAGCUAACGCGUUAAGUUCUCCGCCUGGGGAGUACGCCGGCAACGGUAAAACUCAAAGGAAUUGACGGGGACCCGCACAAGCGGUGGAGCAUGUGGUUUAAUUCGAUGCAACGCGAAGAACCUUACCUGCCCUUGACAUCCUCGGAAGCUCUUGUAAUGAGAGUGUGCCUUCGGGAGCCGAGUGACAGGUGCUGCAUGGCUGUCGUCAGCUCGUGUCGUGAGAUGUUGGGUUAAGUCCCGCAACGAGCGCAACCCUUGUCCCUAGUUGCCAGCACUUCGGGUGGGAACUCUAGGGAGACUGCCGGUGACAAACCGGGAGGAAGGUGGGGACGACGUCAAGUCAUCAUGGCCCUUAUGGGGCAGGGGCUACACACGUGCUACAAUGGGCGAAUACAGAGGGGCUGCAAGCCAGCGAUGGGUUAGCCAAUCCCUUAAAGCUCGUCGUAGUCCGGGAUCGGGAGU